rnacentral:lncRNA from 1 species
UUAAGUAUUUAACACAGAUUUGAAUUCAUUCUUUCUAUUCAAGUAUUUAACACAUUUUACUUCUUUUCAACAACUAAUAUGAAGGCAUUCUUUCUAUUUAAGUAUUCAACACAUUUUUACUUCUUUUAACGAUUUCCUCCCAACAAUUCGUUGGCCUUCAUUGACUUGGUGGCUUCUUGACUAUAAAGUAUAAACAAAUUAUACUCUUAUACAUUUACCAUUUCAAAUGCAACCCCACUGUUUGUUUCAAAUGCAACCCCAGUUUCAAAACUUGCAUUAAUCCCACCGUUGCGCCAACAUAAAUAAACCGUCACAUAACCAUCCAACGCCACCGUUCCAAAUGCUUGGACUUAUCCCACCAAUUCAUUAAAUGAUAUCAUCUUUCCCCUAAGUCCAAGUAUAUUUGAAAGUUAUUAUUUUUUAUACUCCACCGGUGGUAGACACACCGUUAUGGAACCGACACAAACAUUCAUCCACCGACGUGUCUCCCCCCACCAUCGUUUCACCGCCGUCAGAACCGUAUCUACUCCUAUAUAACCCUCACACAACCAGAAUAACCGCCGGUCAUGUAUCACCCAUCUGAAACCUUGGCAGACUCAUGGUGUGAGGGUAGUUGCAUUCAUAAAUCCAGUCACUCAAUUUCCAAUUAAUAAUACUAUUCCGCCACAAAGUAAUCUGCCACAAAACCCCAACGUAGUCGGCACCGGCCGGAUUCCGCACAGAUUUUCAAUUUACUCCACCGUCACCGGUUCAACAAGAAGAGAUGGCCGAUGAUGGUUUUAUUAAUUGCAUAAUCUCCCAACAAAACUUCAUCGUCAAUUAUCAUACAUAUAAUGCUACAAAGCGUAGAGGAUUUCUGGAGGUGCAACUUUGCCGUAGAAAUUAAAAAGAUAAAGGAUAUUGAAGCAAAGUUAAAAGACCAGGAAGAAUAAGCGAACCGGUUCAGGCAGAUCACAGAUGUAGCAUUCCUACGAAAAGGAAACGUUUCAUUUGGAGCAAAUGAUGGAACCGUGGUGGCUGUGCAGGUUCGGUGGUUGUGCUGUGGUGGUGGUUCAAUGGUGGUGUUGUGGUGUCGGUGGUGAUUUCCUCCAAUGCUUUUGAAUGGUGGUAUUUGGAGAUGUGAGAUAUGAUUUUGAAUGGUGGUAUUUGGACAAUACACUUUGUUUUUUGAUGAGUUGUUUGGUGCUUACAUCCACUGUUUUACCAUUAAUCUCUCACCCACUAUUUUACCACUCCCAAUAUGAUAAUUUUCUCCCUCCCUUUUCUCUUGCUGCACAA